UAAUACAGAGGGUGCGAGCGUUAAUCGGAAUUACUGGGCGUAAAGGGCGCGUAGGUGGGAGUCUAAGUCAGAUGUGAAAGCCCUGGGCUCAACCUAGGAACUGCAUUUGAUACUGGACUGACUAGAGUGAGGUAGAGGGUGGCGGAAUUCCCGGUGUAGCGGUGAAAUGCGUAGAUAUCGGGAAGAACACCAGUGGCGAAGGCGGCCACCUGGACCUUAACUGACACUGAGGCGCGAAAGCGUGGGUAGCGAACAGG
rnacentral:rRNA from 1 species